rnacentral:rRNA from 1 species
CCUACGGGACGCAGCAGUGGGGAAUAUUGCACAAUGGGCGCAAGCCUGAUGCAGCGACGCCGCGUGCGGGAUGGAGGCCUUCGGGUUGUAAACCGCUUUUGUUCAAGGGCAAGGCACGGUCUUUGGCCGUGUUGAGUGGAUUGUUCGAAUAAGCUCCGGCUAACUAUGUGCCAGCAGCCGCGGUAAUACAUAGGGAGCGAGCGUUAUCCGGAUUUAUUGGGUGUAAAGGGUGCGUAGACGGGAAUACAAGUUGGUUGUGAAAUCCAUCGGCUCAACCGAGGAACUG